GGGUAUUCUAAUGAGAAAGGUGAUCUGACAGGGCAAGUUCCAGGUUCUAGCGGAACACUCAGAAUGGGAGCUCACCCAGAUCUGCUAGAGGAUGACUUUGGAAGACGACUUUGAUCUCCCCAGGAAGAACAGAUUUGAUGGAAACAAGACAAGAGGCAAAGGAACCAGUUUGGAGACUGCUUGCGGUAGAAAGUCAGAUGAGAAAUGGUGGUCCCCUAAGUGAGCAAAGCAGUGGUGAGCAUGGAAGAAAGGAGACGGUUGAGAGCAAGGCAUGAGAGAUCUUAGCUCACAAAACAAGGAUUGAACCUGCACCCCCUGCAAUGGAAGGCAAAGUCUGAACCACGGGAACUAUCAGGAAAAUCCUUAAACACCUGUAAAUUUAAAAUGCAUUUCUGUCAGUCACCUAAGAGUGCAUGCAUUUUAGACAAUAUGAUAAUCUCUUUGGAAAUUCAGAAGACAGAAGUUGCAAGUAUGACUUCAUCAGCAACACCUUGAGUUUGGAGAGAUAUCCAUCAAAGGAAUGUGAUCCACGUAUAUAGUGUGAUUCUUGAUUUUACUUGUUUUAUUGACUGCAGAAAGGCCUAUGUCAUUUAUUGCUUUCAUCAUGUAAGACUGCAAUGCUUCUACUAAAGGUAUUUAUCACUGGUCUAUUCUUUUUAUCAAAUGGUGAAAAGACUGUUGAUAGUCAGUUGACUAGGUUUUGUUGAGGAUGACUCAACAAAGAAACAUCUUUUGCUUUGUUUCAUUUUAAUAUCCUUUGAGUUACAUGUGAGUAUUGUGACGUAUGGUUUAUCAGUAUCCUUCUAAUUAACUUUAGAGGCAUAGCAGCAAGGGUAGGUCUCCCCUAACUAUGGUUUUUUGCUGGCAUGUGCCUUUCAUCAGUCCAGCAUCCCUUUAUUUUGCAUUUGCAGUAAUUUUAGAGACAUCUGCCCUCAGAUUCAUGCUAACCAUUCAGUCUCAGGAAACAUGGCUUGAUCUAUGUUACACCGGUUAAACAGAAAAUACUUGCUGGAUUUCAUUCUGCAUUUGAACGAUAUUAUAAGCAAUGAUGGUAUGGAUAACCUGUUGGUAUGUACAGAUAUGCCAGGAGCCACUGGAAAUUCGUGCUUAGUGACCACUGGACUUAUAGAACACAGCAGUAAUUGGCCUCAUCCUUUCAUUCCAAAUCUUAGAGAGGGAAUCUUCUGAAAGAAACCCUUUAAAGGGGUGUUAUCUUUUAAAGAACAUUUUUAUGAUGUGUCAAAAAGAGUAUUUUUAUGGUAAAAUGAAAUCUGGACAUAGAGGAGAUUAAAUGAGUUCCUGAUGAACAGUUGAAAAGUUUGCUUAGAUGUAGGCAGGAACAGGCAUUCCCUAUGUAAUACAACAUGAAACUUCUUCAAAACUCAAUCUUAUCCAAAAUGUUUUCCAUGUAACAUGGCAACUUUUAGCAAUGCUGAAAGUUUCUAUUCAUUGAUAAUGGCAAGAAACCCAGAAAUUUGGGAUUAUUUGAGCUAAGAGUUGAAGUGAGCUGAGCCUGAAAAUACUUCUCCAAGUCAACUACCUGCAAAACUUUUAGCUGUAUUCACUGCUGACAGGUGCCAUAAACACCUGUAUCUUUUGUACCAAUACACAAAAACAAUGCUGUAUAUCUCUUAUGAUUUGGAUGAAGCAAAAGUGUUGUCAAUGACACAAAUUGUGUGUGAAAUGAAAAUAUCUAUCUUCUGUUUUCCUUUUUCAUUCUUGCCUUGGCUGCCUCAAAGUUAGUUCCGGUCGUAAGUAUAGAAUUCCAUCAGAAUCAGCCGCAAUCAUUUAUAUUUACACAGUAUGACUAAAAGUCAUAUUGACAAAAUUCCAGGGUCAAGUCUAAUUUACAAAAGAAAACAAAAGCAGAGAAUACCAAGCAAAACACACAAAAAUACCUGCACCGCCUUUAUCCAACUUAAGCCGCUGACAACAAAUGUGGCGCAGUAGUAUUUCCAACACUCAACAUCUGUGAAGUUGAUUUAUCUUGUAUACUUCUGAGGAAUCUUGUUCAGUAGGAGUGGGAAGGUAAAGCACAUUUUUUAAUGUCAAAAAUGCUCUUGAAUUUUAAUUUUACUUUAUGAAUUAUAACCUCUUACCUUCUACACAUGCAUACAUGUGUAUGUGUAUGUACAGGCACACAUAUUCUGAAAAGGUACAGAAGAUUGCUUCAUGGAAGAAUUUUAGCCUUCCCUUGACCUCUGGUAAUUUCCUUGCUUAGCCCACAGGCAAGCCUGGUUCUGGCAGUCCCUACUGUCUGAUGGAGGAAGGUCCCAAGAAGGCCAUAAUCAGCCAUAGUCGUAGGACUUGUCGUAAGUCACAGUGAAAUAAACAAUAGCACACCCAAGUGCUUACCAAAUCUUGCAAAUAAGGACUCUGGCUUUACUAGCUGUUGCCAAACUUUUCAAUGCCUCUCCUUCACUCCAGGAGGCACCCAGUCAUAAAUUUAUGAAACAAACUUCCUGACCGUUUCCGAAACCAAUUUCUCACCUCUGGUGAAGGACAAUUUGCAAAAGAGCUGUAUUGCUGAUCUCAGAUUAGCCAUGCUUUCUCAGUGGCUCUCACGCCAUUAACUCUGUCUUGUCUCUAAAUGCACAUUAUUCGAGAGCCCCUAAUAGGAAUGUGUCGUUAUAUAUCAUUGGGGAGACAUUCAUUACAUAUCUCUGAAAAUCUGCUUUCUGGAAAUUAACCAAUCAGUCAGUAUUAAGCUCAUGUUCAUGUCAAGCAUUUGAAGCGCAAAGCACUUUACAAUCCCUAUAAUGUAGCUCUUCCAAGUAGAAGGUUUGAACCAUUCUUAGAGGGGACGUGUGAUAUGCUGCCAAAAAGAAGACCAACUCAAGCUCACGUGAUAUUUUAUUCAUGGAAAAAAAAGAACAUACACCUCAACAUUCAGUCUAAUACACAGUAAACGGAACCUUUGCUAGAUCGGCAGCAGCAGCAGAAAUAGAAACUCAGAAAUGCAGGAUCUGGGGCUCUAUCCAAGACCCGCCAGGUCAGAAUCUGUCUUUUAACUAACCUUUCAGGUGAUAUGUAAGAACACUAAGGUUUGAUAAAGAGGUCAUAGGCUAACUUUGACUCAUUCAUGUCUAACCUUUUUAAUAUUUGUGCUAAAUAAUAAAAUGACUGUGGUUUUCCCUGAUGGUUCAGCAGGAAAGAAUCCUUCUGCAAUGCAGGAGACUUGGGUUUGAUCCCUGGGUCAGGAAGAUCUCCUGGAGAAGGAAAUGGCAACCCAUUCCAGUAUUCUUGCCUGGAGAGUUCCAUGGACAGAGGAGCCUGGCCAGCAACCGUCCAUGAGGUUGCAAAGAGUCAGACAUGGCUUAGAGACUAAACAACUACAACAACAAGAAGUUUCAAAACAACAACACUGUUUCAAAAAAUAUUAAAGUUAGAGAAUUAAACUUGAGCUCCAAAAAUUCAUCUAUCACCAUGUUAUAAAAGAUGUGCCUUUUUUACUUUC